rnacentral:piRNA from 1 species
UGGCAUUUAUGACCUUGUUAUGACCUUCAU